GCGGUUGUGCUCAGUGCUUGGCUUGGUGCCGGUCCUGAGUGAGGACUUGGCGGGGCAAGAUGCACAACUGGACCUCAAACCCAGUCACCGUCCUGGGGAAAGGUCUCGGGGAGGGGAAGCCUGGGCCAGUGAGCUGAGGACAUCCCACACGGCAGGGUCCUCUCGGGAAGGCCUGGCCCCGUAGCUGGGGCCACAGUGGAAGACAGGCUCCCUUGGGGAGGCCCUCGCCCCUGACCUGGGUACACGGCGGAGGUCAGGGUCCCCUGAGGAAGGCCUGGCCUGUGACCUAGGGACGCGGCGGAGGUCAGAGUCUCCAGGAGGAGACCUGGCCCAUGACUUAGGGACACCGCAGAGGGCAGGGCCCCCUGGUGAAGGCCUGGCCCCGUGAGCUGGGGAUGCCAGACAGGGCAAGAUCCCGGGAAAGGAGGACCUGGGUUGAGAGACACUGGUGCUCCUCCUGGGAGGCGCCAGCAUAGAGUGACUUGCAGUGGGAGGCGCGAUCCCCAGGCUGAGGGUGGCCCCUGACGGUGACCUGUGCCUGUUAGCCCAGAGCGAACUGGGAACUCAAACUAAGAGCCCACUUGUCCUAGGAGGACUCCCCUGGAGGGCCAGCCUGGAAGGCUGAGAGCUGGCCACACGAUGUCAGACAAGAUCUGCAUCCUGUUGUCCCCUGGUGGGGGCUGGGGUCACUGUCAAACCAGCAUACACUCAGGCCUUGUUGUCUGGAGCUUUGGACACUACACACCACCUCCACAGCUGUUUGGAAAGAAGGAAAAUGGAAAGUGGCACGGUUCUGCUGGAAUCCAAAUCCUCACCACUUCACCUGCUGCAGGAAAUGCACAAGCUCCGCCUGCUCGGCCACCUGUGCGACGUCACCAUUAGUGUGGAGUGCCAGGGCAUCCGAGAAGACUUCAUGGCCCACAAAGCGGUGCUGGCAGCCACCAGCAAGUUCUUUAAGGAUCUGUUCCUGAAUGAGAAGAGGGUGGAUGGGGCCAAGACUAAUGUGUACUUACAUGAGGUGCAGGUGGCUGACUUUGCCUCCUUUCUUGAGUUUGUCUAUACCACCAAGGUCCAGGUGGAGGAAGACCGGGUGGAGCGGAUGCUGGAGAUGGCUGAAAAGCUCAAGUGUUUGGACCUGUCCGAAACUUGUUUCCAGUUAAAGAAGCAGAUGUUAGAGUCAGUCCUUUUGGAAUUGCAGAACUUCUCAGAGUCUCAAAAGGCUGAGGCCAGCAGUGGUCCCCAGGCCAGUGCUGCAGCAGACUCUGAGGCAAGUUCAGCCAAGGAGAGUGCCCACUGCAAUGGUCUUGUGGGCUCCUCAGAUCACACAGGGGACAGGAUCAGCAACGGCUUGUCGUCGGAUAUGCCACCCAGGAAGCCCAAGGAGAAGCUAGACAGGAAAAGAGAUGUGGCUAAACCUCCCUACUCUAAAAUCAGAAGAGCGAGUGGAAGGCUGGCUGGGAGGAAGGUGUUUGUAGAAAUCCCUAAAAAGAAAUACACAAGACGACUCCGAGAGCAGCAGAAGAGUGCAGAGGACGUGGUUGUGGGGGACUGUGAGCGCCCGCAGGAGCAGCCCAACAGCAGUGUGCCUGCUGAGACUGAGGCUGCCACAGAGACAGUGCUGGAUGCGGAAAGGGCACCCCCAGAGACAGCACAGGCUGCAGCUGUGGGCCAGGACUGCCCUGUGGAGCCGGAGGGAGCGCUGCAGGGGGCGAAGGCAGUGGAACCUGAGAAGGAGGCUGAGGGUGAAGGCGACGGUGAGGGCGACGAGGGCAGGAAGAAAAGCAAUCUGAAGUGCACGCUCUGUGACAAGGCCUUCCUGUAUGAGAAGAGCUUCCUGAAGCAUGUCCAGCAGCACCAUGGUGUGGCCACCGAGGUGGUGUACCGCUGUGACACCUGCGGCCAGACCUUCGCCAAUCGCUGCAACCUCCGGAGCCACCAGCUGCUGGUGCACAGCAGUGAGCGCCACUUCCCCUGUGAGCUGUGCGGGAAGAAGUUCAAGCGCCAGAAGGAUGUGCGGCGGCAUGUGCUGCACGUGCACGAGGGCGGUGGUGCGCGCCACCGCUGCGCCGAGUGUGGCAAGGGCCUGAGCUCCAAGACAGCGCUGCGCCUGCACUCGCGUACCCACACGGGUGACCGGCCUCAUGGCUGCCCUGACUGCGGUGCACGCUUCUCGCAGCCCUCGGCGCUCAAGACCCACUUGAGAAUUCAUACAGGGGAAAAGCCUUUUGUCUGUGAUGAGUGUGGGGCGAGAUUCACUCAGAACCACAUGCUGAUUUACCACAAAAGGGUCCACACAGGUGAAAAGCCUUUUAUGUGUGAAACAUGUGGCAAGAGUUUUGCUUCUAAGGAGUACUUAAAGCACCACAAUAGAAUCCAUACAGGCUCCAAGCCCUAUAAGUGUGAAAUGUGUUUCAGGACUUUCGCACAGCGGAACUCACUCUACCAGCAUGUAAAAGUCCACACAGGGGAGCGGCCCUACUGUUGUGACCAGUGUGGGAAGCAGUUCACCCAGCUCAACGCCCUCCAACGCCACCGUCGCAUUCACACGGGGGAGAAGCCAUUCAUGUGUAACGCAUGUGGACGGACAUUCACCGACAAGUCCACCCUCCGGAGGCACACCUCAAUCCACGAUAAGAAUACUCCAUGGAAGUCUUUCCUUGUUAUUGUAGAUGGCUCACCCAAGAAUGAUGAGGAGCACAAGACAGAGCAGCCUGAUGAAGAGUAUGUGCCCCCCAAACUUCCGGAUAAGUUGCUGUCCUUUGCCGAAAACGGCCACUUUGACAGCCUGGCCACCAUGUCAGGCUCUGCGCCUGCUGGGCAGGAACACAGUGGUGCACAAGCACCCUGCAAGGUAGACACCUCUGUGGUAUCCCAGGAUGCUCUGCUUGCCACUGCCAUGGGUGAGCUUGGUGAGCUGACCCCGCAGACAGACUCGAUGCCCACACAGCUUCACUCUCUGAGCAGCAUCGAGUGAGUGGUCUGCCGGCAGCAGCCCUGCUCCGCGAUGCACAGCAGCUGAGAAGUCUCUCACUGUCCACGUGCAAGGUGUGGGCUGGUGUGGCUUCUGCAGAUGCUCCUGACGGAGCACGUUUCCAUCACACCAAAUGUUUCCCUCGGUGCACUGACUUGCAUGAUCUCCGCUCCUGGAGCCCUGGUGCAGGCCGUGUGCAUUGCCUGACGCUUGGCCCACACUCGUCCACCACACAAAGGGCAGCAGCACCCAGCUCCUGAGUGCUCAGCUCAGUCUUCCAGGCCCCUCCCUGCCUCAGAUGCCACGUGCUUCAAAGUGUUUUCUCCCAAGCCAAAAUACAGCCAGGACCGUAUCAUUUCAGCUGCUGCUUCCUUAUGGAGCUGAAGCUGUUGGCUCUGCUGUGGGAACCCUCAAAGGACGAGAGGUUACUGCAUUCAUUCCAAACCCUACUUGCCAGCCCUAAAACAGGAAGGACAAAUGGAACUCUCAUAAGUGGGCAUGUCCCAUCUCACAUGUGCAGCUGAGUUUGUCAAGAAACCUACUUGAGAAAUGACAUGUGGCUGUUUAGUUUCAUUCAUAAAAGGUGAAGGCUGCCCUACCAAAGAAUCUAGUGAGGUAGUGUAGUACUUUGGAGAGGCGUGACAAGUGCAGUAAGGGGCUUUAGGACACUACAGUGUCUUUUAAG